rnacentral:rRNA from 1 species
AUUGAACGCUGGCGGCAGGCCUAACACAUGCAAGUCGAGCGGAUGAAGGGAGCUUGCUCCUGGAUUCAGCGGCGGACGGGUGAGUAAUGCCUAGGAAUCUGCCUGGUAGUGGGGGAUAACGUCCGGAAACGGGCGCUAAUACCGCAUACGUCCUGAGGGAGAAAGUGGGGGAUCUUCGGACCUCACGCUAUCAGAUGAGCCUAGGUCGGAUUAGCUAGUUGGUGGGGUAAAGGCCUACCAAGGCGACGAUCCGUAACUGGUCUGAGAGGAUGAUCAGUCACACUGGAACUGAGACACGGUCCAGACUCCUACGGGAGGAAGCAGUGGGGAAUAUUGGACAAUGGGCGAAAGCCUGAUCCAGCCAGGCCGCGUGUGUGAAGAAGGUCUUCGGAUUGUAAAGCACUUUAAGUUGGGAGGAAGGGCAGUAAGUUAAUACCUUGCUGUUUUGACGUUACCAACAGAAUAAGCACCGGCUAACUUCGUG